rnacentral:rRNA from 1 species
UACGUAGGUGGCAAGCGUUGUCCGGAUUUAUUGGGCGUAAAGCGCGCGCAGGCGGUCCUUUAAGUCUGAUGUGAAAUCUUGCGGCUCAACCGCAAGCGGUCAUUGGAAACUGGGGGACUUGAGUACAGAAGAGGAAAGCGGAAUUCCACAUGUAGCGGUGAAAUGCGUAGAGAUGUGGAGGAACACCAGUGGCGAAGGCGGCUUUCUGGUCUGUAACUGACGCUGAGGCGCGAAAGCGUGGGGAGCAAACAGG